CUUGCUUCUAUGACGUUAGCGGCGGACGGGUGAGUAACACGUGGGCAACCUGCCUGUAAGACUGGGAUAACUCCGGGAAACCGGAGCUAAUACCGGAUAACAUUUUUUCUUGCAUAAGAGAAAAUUGAAAGAUGGUUUCGGCUAUCACUUACAGAUGGGCCCGCGGUGCAUUAGCUAGUUGGUGAGGUAACGGCUCACCAAGGCAACGAUGCAUAGCCGACCUGAGAGGGUGAUCGGCCACACUGGGACUGAGACACGGCCCAGACUCCUACGGGAGGCAGCAGUAGGGAAUCUUCCGCAAUGGACGAAAGUCUGACGGAGCAACGCCGCGUGAGUGAUGAAGGCUUUCGGGUCGUAAAACUCUGUUGUUAGGGAAGAACAAGUACAAGAGUAACUGCUUGUACCUUGACGGUACCUAACCAGAAAGCCACGGCUAACUACGUGCCAGCAGCCGCGGUAAAUACGUAGGUGGCAAGCGUUAUCCGGAAUUAUUGGGCGUAAAGCGCGCGCAGGCGGUUUCUUAAGUCUGAUGUGAAAGCCCACGGCUCAACCGU
rnacentral:rRNA from 2 species